CUAUCUCUCUCACACACACACACACACACAAUCUCUCUCUAUCCAUCAAUCCCACCACCACCACCAUCACAACAACGCAUCACCAACCUAAAAGAUUUGAACCACCACUACUACCAACAUAUAUAUGUAUCUCUAUACUCGAUCUUGUUUUGAAUACAAUCUUGUUCGAUUGUUCAAAGUUUGGGGUUCGAAGUCAUAGGCCUACUAUGGCUGGACAACCUAAU
rnacentral:lncRNA from 1 species